rnacentral:rRNA from 1 species
UAGGGAAUAUUGGGCAAUGGGCGAAAGCCUGACCCAGCGACGCCGUGUGAGGGAGGAAGGCCUUCGGGUUGUAAACCUCUAACGCCGAUCAAGAAGUGUGCUGGCGCUAACAACGCUGGUAUGCAGACGAGUCGGGGAUGAAGUCAUGGCUAACUCUGUGCCAGCAGCAGCGGUAAUACAGAGAUGACAACCGUUAUUCGGAAUCAUUGGGCGUAAAGAGCGUGUAGGCGGCUGGAUAAGUCAGAUGUGAAAGCCCUGGGCUUAACCCAGGAAGUGCAUUUGAAACUGUUCAGCUUGAGUAGGGGAGAGGAAAGUGGAAUUCCUGGUGUAGAGGUGAAAUUCGUAGAUAUCAGGAGGAACACCGGUGGCGAAGGCGACUUUCUGGCCCUAUACUGACGCUGAGACGCGAGAGCGUGGGUAGCAAACA